GACGAACGCUGGCGGCUUGCUUAACACAUGCAAGUCGAGCGGAAAGGCCCUUUCGGGGGUACUCGAGCGGCGAACGGGUGAGUAACACGUGAGUCAUCUGCCCUUGGCUUUGGGAUAAACACCGGAAACGGUGGCUAAUACCGGAUAUGCCGCGCCCCGGCAUCGGCGGGGGUGGAAAGUUUUUUCGGCCUGGGUGGUGCUCGCGGCGUAUCAGCUUGUUGGUGGGGUAAUGGCCUACCAAUGCGUCGACGGGUAGCCGGCCUGAGAGGGUGACCGGCCACACUGGGACUGAGACACGGCACAGACUCCUACGGGAGGCAGCAGUGGGGAAUAUUGGACAAUGGGCGGAAGCCUGACCCAGCAACGCCGCGUGAGGGAUGACGGCCUUCGGGUUGUAAGCCUCUUUCAGUACCGACGAAGCGCCGAUGAUGGUGGUGACGGUAGGUACAGAAGAAGCACCGGCCAACUACGUGCCAGCCGCCGCGGUAA
rnacentral:rRNA from 1 species